CUUGGAGGGAGGGGGUUUGCAUUCUCCAUUUCACAGAGAGAAGCAUCUGCCUUUAUUGACAGACACCUGUCAUUCAAACCAGGACACCACAAUGGUGUCCAAGCAAUCAUGAACCACUAAUUCUCCUGUAUUCCCACUGAGGAAGGAAGCUGGAUUCACAAGGUUAGUGACUUUAAUCUCAACAUCAUCUUUUGGGAGAAUGUGAGCAUCUCUCCAGCUUCACAGUUCCCUGCAGACUUGGGUUGUUCACUGGGACACCAGAGAUGAUGUUUUGAAGCCAUGUCACAUGAGCAGGAUCCCCUUGGAUGUCUGCAGCCCUGGGAGCCAGCAGUGAGGCACACAGCCCCAUCUGCACAUUCCAGCCUGCAGGAAUGGCUGCAGGAUUGUGGGCAGCAUCCUGUUGCAGGUUCUGGUUCUAUCUGCCUUUUGGAGGAAAACUGGCAUCUCUGGAUGUGCAUGUAGAUAAGCCUGCCUUGCUGGUGGCACCAUGUAAGUAGGUUUUGAUUGCAACACAAGAAGAGUUUCAUCACACAAACCAGCUGCUGUUGUGGUGGAAAGAGCAAACAGAGCUGUGGUCUGAGUAGGUUUCAGCUGGUGAGGAGUGCAUCUGCACGGGUACCACGGCA
rnacentral:lncRNA from 12 species